rnacentral:lncRNA from 1 species
CAACUCUACUCCGCGGCUUCUCCGGAAAACUAGAGUUACUAUUCACUUAAGUGAAAACUAAUAAUCGCGUAACUUCUCCAUUCUAACUCAUUUUCUCCUGAAACUUGACGAGUGCUUAUGUAAUUAAAUUACACACAUAAACAUCAUCAACAAAGAGUUCAGUUGCACUGUAAAAAAAUCUCAGUCCUUACAAAUAUAAAAUUGCAAAAACGUUUG